CGACGUGGUCGAGUCGGUUGAGGCUUUUCGGACCAAGGUUACAGGAUGGUGUUGAUCCCGGUGUGUUAUGGUCCGCAGACUUUGGAUUGGUACGUUUCCCUCGUCUUGUUCUUGUGGAACCGCAGUCCUAUUCUCCCCUUUUCUAAGGUUGAUCUGUCCAAUUCUAGAAUUGUGACUGACCAGUAUCCAAAGGUGUUACCGCGUUGGUGGAGCAAUGUCAGAGUUCGUUUACGGUGGGUACGUGGUCAAGUUUCGAGGACGAAACUUCUUUUAAGGGGAGGAUGAUGUAAGGACUGAGAUUUUUUGACAGUGCUACUAAACUCUCUGUUGAUGAUGUUUAUGUGUGUAAUUUAAUUACAUAA
rnacentral:lncRNA from 1 species